rnacentral:rRNA from 1 species
GACGAACGCUGGCGGCGUGCUUAACACAUGCAAGUCGAACGGAAAGGCCCUGCUUGCAGGGUACUCGAGUGGCGAACGGGUGAGUAACACGUGGGUGAUCUGCCCUGCACUUCGGGAUAAGCCUGGGAAACUGGGUCUAAUACCGGAUAGGAGCCAUUUUUAGUGUGAUGGUUGGAAAGUUUUUUCGGUGUAGGAUGAGCUCGCGGCCUAUCAGCUUGUUGGUGGGGUAAUGGCCUACCAAGGCGGCGACGGGUAGCCGGCCUGAGAGGGUGGACGGCCACAUUGGGACUGAGAUACGGCCCAGACUCCUACGGGAGGCAGCAGUGGGGAAUAUUGCACAAUGGGCGCAAGCCUGAUGCAGCGACGCCGCGUGGGGGAUGACGGACUUCGGGUUGUAAACUCCUUUCGCUAGGGACGAAGCUUUUUGUGACGGUACCUAGAGAAGAAGCAACGGCUAACUACGUG